UAACAGUGUCACUACUGUCCUUACCCACAGCAGCAGGGUAGUCAGCCACAGUGAGAAGCUGACUGAGCAGCUUCUUGAGCAAUAACAAGCCUCCAGUGCUGCAGACAAACUACAGUGCUUCAGCUCACACCUAAAGGAACACACUCUUCAAGUUUUCAUGCAAAUGCUGCUUACUCUGAAGUCAACGACAGAAGAGCAAACUGAGCAGGACUGGAGUCUUCACAGGGAAAUUGCAGUUUCCCCAGCAAGGGCAUACUCUGAAAAGGAGGCUUAUUUUUCUUUAUGUCAUAAUGACAAGGGAAGAAAAAGUAAGGAAGAAAAGACUCUAAUUGCAGCCUUCCACCAAUGCAGUCGCCAUCUGGUAACUCAAGAGACACAUGGAGCUGAAUUAUCUUAAUUAACGUGUUACAAAAGUAUUUAAAAAACUCUAUGCUUAUUAACACUCAGCUGUGAUUAGCCAACCAUGGAGGAAGCCUCCUAGUGCAACAUUAAUUAUGGGUCUUGUCUGUCUAUUAGAAAUAUGAUUUUUUUUCCCCAGUAGUUUAUCUCUCUCCUAAAAUAAAAACCAUUAGCAUCAAAGCUUGCUCUAAAAUGCAAAUUAUAUUUACAUUUUACAAGAGUCAAAAUGUUUAGGCUAUAUGAAGCUGCCACUGGUGCUUCUACAGUGAUACAGAUUGUCUAGAUACAAAAUGUACUUCUCUAUGCCCCUUAGAAAGCCUUGCUUCAGUUAAGCAACUCCCACUCCCACUGAAAUUUUAGCAGAAAAAUAAAGUUUUAUACCUUUCUUUCCCCUUCCAAAACAGGACAGACUUUGCUGUAUGCUAGGCAGUUGAAAAACCAAGACACAAAUUCCAGGGCUAACAAAAACUGCAAGUGCGAAAGGAAGCUUUCUGCGACAGAAAGCAGCAACCCAAACACAACUGCACUCCAGCAGCAGAUCUGCCUCCCCAGAAGAAUGCUACUCACUAUGACAACUGUAUUAUUUUCCCUGCAACAGGCCCACCUGUAACGUGGUCCCCUCAGAUACAUUCCCAAAUGAUUCAGCCUGAAAGGCUCCGAGACUAACACUGCCAAGUUUUUCAGACUUGGCUCGGUGUUAUGUUUGUUACAGGGCUGGCUGCAGUGGGGCUCUCAUCCACACUAGGCAUCCUGAACAUCAGUAUAACACCAAAUUAUAAGACAAAAACCUGGUGCUUUUAAACAAAGCCAGGAUUGAUAAAUUAUUUUGGGAAACACUAACAAGGAGGAAGAAACAAAUCAGAACAACUGCAGAAAUAUUUUUAAGAUCUUCUGAUAAAGUAAUCUUAUAGCUGCACACACACACACACACAAAUAAAUUUAAAUUGUUGUUGAUGUAUGUGGAAGCUCACAAAGCUUGCUCAGGUCCAGUAAAGAUGAAGACCAAAUGACCAGUACUUUACAGCAUCCCAUAUUGCCAGGACAGCAUAAAUAAUUUGUAUCUGGGCUGCACCUGAGUCAGCAAUACAGUGGCCCCAGAAAAGCCAAUGUGAUACAGAAACCUGCUCUCACCUAUGGGCAUAGCACAGCUUUCCAAGUGGCCCACAUUUCAUUUGCUUUUGUUUUCCAAGGCUGCUUCCAGCCUCCCUGUGCCUUCUUCCAACUCCUCCGUAAUUACUUCCACAUGUUCCAAGAAGGAAAUAAGCAAGUGCUGUAAUAACACUUUGUGUAAUGAGCAGGGUUCCAGAUUCUGCUUUUGAAACCCAAAGCCCACUGUUGUAAGUAGCCUUGUGGAUUCCUCCCCCUUCAAAAGUUGGAUUAGGAGGGUCUCUCUAAGAUAGCUGCAUAUGGGUUUUUGUUUGAAAUUCUGAUCAUCAGGAAAUAUAAAGGGUGCAAAAGUGUUUGCCACAUGGGGCAAAGGCAGCUAACAAUCACUGGGGCCUCUCUUCCUCUCACUGACAGCUCUUUCAAUUCUAAAUCUUACUUUAUAUUGCAACAAGGAGGAGAAUAUUUAAAAAGAUUAAGAACUGUCAAAAUAAUUUGAUGGUCUUACAAAAAAGGAACAGAUAGCUGUGCAGGAACUUAGUUAUAUCACACAGCUUGAUUUGUCGUCUUGUCCUGAUCACUUGUUCCCAAAAUCCUACAAAAUUAAAAACUGG